rnacentral:rRNA from 1 species
GACGAACGCUGGCGGCGUGCCUAAUACAUGCAAGUUGAGCGCUGAAGGUUGGUACUUGUACCGACUGGCUGAGCAGCGAACGGGUGAGUAACGCGUGGGGAAUCUGCCUUUGAGCGGGGGACAACAUUUGGAAACGAAUGCUAAUACCGCAUAAAAACUUUAAACACAAGUUUUAAGUUUGAAAGAUGCAAUUGCAUCACUCAAAGAUGAUCCCGCGUUGUAUUAGCUAGUUGGUGAGGUAAAGGCUCACCAAGGCGAUGAUACAUAGCCGACCUGAGAGGGUGAUCGGCCACAUUGGGACUGAGACACGGCCCAAACUCCUACGGGAGGCAGCAGUAGGGAAUCUUCGGCAAUAGACGAAAGUCUGACCGAGCAACGCCGCGUGAGUGAAGAAGGUUUUCGGAUCGUAAAACUCUGUUGGUAGAGAAGAACGUUGGUGAGAGUGGAAAGCUCAUCAAGUGACGGUAACUACCCAGAAAGGGACGGCUAACUACGUG